UGUCCAAAACAAAAGAAAGAAAAAUCAUUUUCUUUGUUAUUUUCAUGUGAAAAAUUUGGAACCGGGCUGAUGCAAUUGAAAAGACGAAGAAAAUUGUUCACCCAGCAAAGCCCAGUUUUAAAGCCUUCUUCUGACCUAUUCAAAUUCUCUCGCCCUUACCUAAAGAAAACAUGUCUGGUCCACAAGAAAGAAGAAAUGAAGAAACAUCCCUUGCAAGAACAUUAAAAUAUUUAGGACCAUAUGCAACAAGAGGAGAUUCAAUUACAAUUUUAUUGAUUACAACAAACAGUCCUGUUCCGUAGCUAAUUCUACCAAAAAACCUGAUAUAAUAACUCAACAAGACCUUUUCCUCGAGGCCAUCAAAGUAUAAAGUUGCAUUCUUUAUUACAAUUCUGCGCAAAAAAUCGAGAACGUGUUAAAGGGACGGCCUGCCUUGAGCAAGUUACUGGAUUGGGGUUAGAAACAGACACCUUAACAUCAAAUAUGUUAAUGAAAGUGUGCUCGAAGUGUGGUUUAAUUCGUACUGCUUGCAAAGUGUUUGAUGAAAUGCCUGAGAGAUGUGCGGUUUCAUGGAAUACGAUGAUUGGUACUUGUAUACAGAACGGAUAGGGGGGGGAGGGGCAUUGAUAUUUUCUUGGGAAUGCGAAGAGAAGGAAGCCCAUGUAGUGAAUUUACGUGUUGUUUUGUGUAGCCCAUGUAGGAACUGCAUUUCUUGAUGUUUAUGCAAAAAGUGGGUACUGCAUUUCUGUGGGAACUGCAUUUCUUGAUGUUUAUGCAAAAAGUGGGUUGAUAGAGGAAGCGAGUUGUCUUUUGAAGGCAGUGUCUUUUUGUGUGGGUAAUCAAAGCUUUGUGAGGAGGGCUUGGUGUUGUUUGCUAGAGGGCAGGAAAUGGGGCUUGAUACAAUCAGUUUAUGAUAUCAACUUUGGCAGCUUCGAUUGAAGGCUGGCAGGUGCAUGCUAUUGUUUGUAGAACUGGUUUUGGUUCAAAUAAUUUAUUUUCGCUUCCACACUUGUAGACAUGUAUGCCAAAUGUGGUACCAUAAAAGAGGCUUAUGCUGUGUUUUGUGACAUAGAAAGAAUAGGAUGUUGUCUUGUGGAAUGAGAUGAUUUCUGAGUUUGCUAAACAUGUUGCUCCUUGGAAGCGAUGAAUUUAUUUGAGGAAAUGCAGCAGAUGGGUAUGCACCGUGAUGAAGUGCACUUAUGCAUGGUCGACAAGGGACGAAGCUAUUUCAAACUUAUGACAGGAGAGCACAAUGUGUCACCAAAUGUCCUUCACUAUUCAUGCAUGGUUGAUAGUCCAUGAAGCUCAUGAAUUGAUGAAGAGAAUGCCAUUUGUUGCUACUGCUUCAAUGUGGGGAUCGCAUCUUGUCUCUUGCAGGAUUCAUGGGAAUCUUGAAUUAGCUGAGAUUGCAGCGAAGAACCUUUUAGAGAUGGAACCUUGACAACAGGGGAAACUAUGUUUUGCUGGCAAACACUUAUGCUGCUAGUAAAAACUGGGAGGAAGCUGCGAAAGCAAGGAAGUUUCUUAAAGAAAUCGAGGUCAUGAAGGAGAGGGGUCAAAGUUGGAUUGAAAUUAAGGACAAAGUUCACACUUUUAUGGCCAGUAAGAGAACCCAUCCUAGAAUUACCGAUAUAUAUUUAGAGUUGGAUAACUUGCUAGGAGAGAUAAUUAAACUGGGUAAUAAAGCUGAAACUGACUGUGGCCUUCAUGAUCUUUAAGAGAGUUGAAAGCAAGAACCCUUGAACCACCAUAAAGAGAAGCUUACAUUUCGGCUGAUGUACAUGCUUCCCAGGGCACGUAUGAGGAUUAUGAAAAGUCUCCGUAUUUUUGUGGUGAUUGCCAUUCUUUUAUGAAGCAUGCUUCUAGCAUUACUGGUCAGGAAAUUAUUGUCAGGGACACAAAUAAGUUUCACCAUUUCUGAAAUGGAUGCUGUUCUUGAGGGAGUUUUGGUGAGAUGCUAGUUUACCUAUUGACAGUCAUGGCUUUCAGUAUGUUAUGGUUCUUGGGUGGUUUAUCAACUGUGGUAUUUGUAUGCAAAAUGUCAGGAGUUACAGUUUGAGUGAUCGACACUUCAUUCAUCUGAAUAUCAUGGUAACUUUUGCUCAAGCAUACGGUAAACGGACUUGUCUCCAAACUUGACCGAAGAAUAUAUUAAGCAGAGAUGGAAUCUCACCUUCUGAAAUAGAAUUUUAGCAGGCAGAGUGACUUCUGUAAUAACACGGGAGAUCUCCCAAGUUACAAGCUCAUGGCUCUGAAGCUGUAUAUCCAGUAACAUUCUGAAGCUCCGACAACUACAUGGCCGCCGUAAUGUGCUUGGAGCCAGGGAUGGAUGUGGAGAGAUAACAAAUUGGUGUGGUAUAUUCAUAUACUAUCAUACUCUUAAAGAUGAAAAUAUAUCGCUGUCAGUCAGAAAGAAAGAGGGAGGUUCUCUAAAACCAUAUUUUUGGGCAUUUGGAAUAUGUUUAUUAGUUCUAUGCUUUCAUUUGUCCCUGUUUUCAAUCAUUUUUUUGGGCAUUUGGAAUCGGAACACUUCUAAAUUCUUAGGAAUUCCCAACUAAAGAUUUCCAUCCA